rnacentral:misc_RNA from 1 species
UAUUGGAAUACAAAAACCUAAAGCUUUAUCCUAUGAUUGGUCAGGUCUAGAAAACAAAGGCUAGUAACUAAAAAUCAGCUUUGAUUUUUGUUACUUUGAUUUUUCAUUAUUUACAAGUUUAUCUUAUCAUUUUUCUUACAAAGUAAAACAGAAAAUGUAAUAAUUAACAAUAAAGAGCGUUUGACCAACCUUCCAUAUCCCAUCACUUGCCAGAAU